rnacentral:rRNA from 1 species
ACUCCUUUUAUCUGGGAAGGAACCAUUCCGACUUGUCGGAAUAUGACGGUAUUAGAGUAAUAAGCGACCAGCUAACCCGCGCCAGCAGCCGCGGUAAUACGGUGGAGGGUGCAAGCGUUAUCCGGAUUUACUGGGUUUAAAGGGUGUAGGCGACUUAUAAGUCAGUGGUGAAAAAGCUCGGAGCUGAACUCCGAACCGCCAAUAUUGAUACUGUUAGUCUUGAAUCGGUAGAGGUAGGCGGAAUGUACAUGUAGGCGGUGAAAUGGCGAUAUGUUAUAGUACACCGAUUUGAAGCAGCUUUGCUGUUGCCAAUAUUGACGUUGAGGCACGAAAGCGUGGGUAGCGAACAGGAUUAGAUAAUCUGGUAGUCCACGCCCCUAAACGAUGAUUACCUGACAUUAGCGAUAUACAGUUAGUAACCAAUGAAAGCGUUAAGUAAUCCACCUCGGGAGUACGUUCGCAAGAAUGCAAAACUCGUAUGAAUUGACUGGGUACUCGCACAAGCGGUGGAGUACAUGUGGUUUAAUUUGUGAUGCGCGAGGAACCUUACCAAGAUUGAAUGUUUGGACAGCUGCUGAAAGUAAAGAUUUUCUCUCGGAGACCUAUUGCAAGGUGUUGCAUGGUUGUCGUCAGCCCGCGCCGUGAGGUGUUGGGUUAAGUCCCGCAACGAGCGCAACCUCAUCUUUAGUUGCCAGCAUGUUAUGAUGGGGACUCUAAAGAAACCGUUUGCGUAAGCAGUGAGGAAGGGGGAUGACGUCAAAUCAUCACGGUCUUGAUAUCUUGGGUUACACACGUGCAAUGGCCGGUAUAGAGGGUCAAACACCGCGAGGUGGAGCCAAUUUCAUAAAGCCCGCCCCCAGUUGAUUGAGUCUGCACUGACUUCCACAUGAAGUUGGAAUCGCCAGUAAUCGCGUAUCAGCAAUGACGCGGUGAAUACGUUCCCUGACCUUGUACACACCGCCCGUCAAGCCAUGGGAGUUGGGGUGUGUACCUUAAGACGAUGACCGUAAGGAGUUGUCCGAGGUAAAACCGAUGACUGGGGCUAAGUCGAACAAGGUAGCCGUACCGAAGGUGCGCUGAAUACCUCCUUU